CAAGGGAACCCGCAAAUACAUGCAAGUCGAACGAACUCUGGUAUUGAUUGGUGCUUGCAUCAUGAUUUACAUUUGAGUGAGUGGCGAACUGGUGAGUAACACGUGGGAAACCUGCCCAGAAGCGGGGGAUAACACCUGGAAACAGAUGCUAAUACCGCAUAACAACUUGGACCGCAUGGUCCGAGUUUGAAAGAUGGCUUCGGCUAUCACUUUUGGAUGGUCCCGCGGCGUAUUAGCUAGAUGGUGGGGUAACGGCUCACCAUGGCAAUGAUACGUAGCCGACCUGAGAGGGUAAUCGGCCACAUUGGGACUGAGACACGGCCCAAACUCCUACGGGAGGCAGCAGUAGGGAAUCUUCCACAAUGGACGAAAGUCUGAUGGAGCAACGCCGCGUGAGUGAAGAAGGGUUUCGGCUCGUAAAACUCUGUUGUUAAAGAAGAACAUAUCUGAGAGUAACUGUUCAGGUAUUGACGGUAUUUAACCAGAAAGCCACGGCUAACUACGUGCCAGCAGCCGCGGUAAUACGUAGGUGGCAAGCGUUGUCCGGAUUUAUUGGGCGUAAAGCGAGCGCAGGCGGUUUUUUAAGUCUGAUGUGAAAGCCUUCGGCUCAACCGAAGAAGUGCAUCGGAAACUGGGAAACUUGAGUGCAGAAGAGGACAGUGGAACUCCAUGUGUAGCGGUGAAAUGCGUAGAUAUAUGGAAGAACACCAGUGGCGAAGGCGGCUGUCUGGUCUGUAACUGACGCUGAGGCUCGAAAGUAUGGGUAGCAAACAGGAUUAGAUACCCUGGUAGUCCAUACCGUAAACGAUGAAUGCUAAGUGUUGGAGGGUUUCCGCCCUUCAGUGCUGCAGCUAACGCAUUAAGCAUUCCGCCUGGGGAGUACGGCCGCAAGGCUGAAACUCAAAGGAAUUGACGGGGGCCCGCACAAGCGGUGGAGCAUGUGGUUUAAUUCGAAGCUACGCGAAGAACCUUACCAGGUCUUGACAUACUAUGCAAAUCUAAGAGAUUAGACGUUCCCUUCGGGGACAUGGAUACAGGUGGUGCAUGGUUGUCCCCACCUCCUGUCCUGAGAAGUUGGGGUAAAUCCCCCCACGAAGGCCAACCCUUUUUAUUAAUUUGCCACCAUUUAAAUUGGGGCACCCUGGUGGAAAAUGCGCGGGAACAAACCCCAAGGAAAGGGGGGGGAUGAAGUCCAAAUAAUUUUUGCCCCCUUAUAACCGGGGGUUAACACG
rnacentral:rRNA from 1 species